CUUCCAACCUGCUCUGGUUUCUAUGAAAAAGUGAAGGCCAAACUGCUAAGUCAGUGUAAAAGUUGUAAGCGACUGAAAUGUUCUCAGGAGGAAGAGUUUAUGGAUGUUUAUGGAGGAGACAGUCACUGUUGAAAGGCUUCCAGUUGCUUAUUAUUUGGGCCUGAGGAGGAACCACCGCUGAAAUCAAGCUUGGAAGAGCUUGCUGACGUCAGAUUCCCAGCUGUAGUAACCCCAAAUGGCCAAGAUAUGCAGCCCCUGGGGCGAACCUGAGUGUUUGAAAUGCAUGGCAACAAUGUUUAAUUCAUGGCAACAAUGAAUCAGUGCUCUAAGGAAGAAAGAAGUGAAUGGCAAGAUUGCACUUGCCCUGACUGCCAGCCAGAAACUACAUUUCCCAGCAUCCCUUGCAGCUUGGUAUGGCCAUGUGACCACAUUCUCAUUAAUACAGGGUGAGUGUGCCACAUCCAACUCUUUUGUUCAAAAGAAAUUGCUUUUCCACUUUCUGGAAGCUUUUGAUGUAGUUUUGAGCAUACAGAAGAGGGCUGGUUUAUUCUAAGUAUUGGGAACCCCUUCCUAAGGUCAAACUCUGAGGUUUAGGAUGUCAAAGCAUAGGCUUAUCAAAAAAGCUUCUGAUCACACACACACACACACACCGUUAAUGCAACAUUGACUUCCUCUAACAAGGCAAGUAGGGAGAGAGACGAUAGCGGGAGAGAUCUGGCUGGUCAGUCUUUCUCUGCCUCCUUUGCUGCUGACCCCAGGCAGUGUGUCUAUGACCUCAGCUAGCAAGAUUAUUUUCUCUUGUCCAUAGAAGGAGGUUGGACUCUCCCCCAUACUGCAUGUCAAAAACUGUAAAAGCCAG
rnacentral:lncRNA from 10 species